rnacentral:rRNA from 1 species
GACGAACGCUGGCGGCGUGCCUAAUACAUGCAAGUCGAACGCAGUGGGGACGGGUGAGUAACACGUGGGUAACCUCCCAUCAGAGGGGAUAACACUUGGAAACAGGUGCUAAACCGAUACUGAUGGAUGGACCCGCGGUGCAUUAGCUAGUUGGGGAGGUAACGGCUCACCAAGGCCACGAUGCAUAGCCUAGCUGCGAGGGUGCACGGCCACCCUGGGAGUGAGGCACGGACCAGUCUCCUACAGGAGGCAGCAGUAGAGAAUCUUCGGCGAUGGAAGAAAGUCGAACCGAGCAACGCCGCGUUGGUGAAGAAGGUUUUCGGAUCGUAAGACUCUGUUGUUAGAGAAGCGGUAUCUAACCAGAAAGCCACGGCUAACUACGUGCCAGCAGCCGCGGUAAUUC